AUACGGAGGACGCGAGCGUUAUCCGGAUUCAUUGGGUUUAAAGGGUGCGCAGGCGGCCGUGCAAGUCAGCGGUGAAAGCCCGGGGCUCAACCCCGGAAGUGCCGUUGAUACUGCUUGGCUGGAAUGCGGUCGAGGCGGGCGGAACGUGGCGUGUAGCGGUGAAAUGCGUAGAUAUGCCACAGAACGCCGAUAGCGGAGGAGGCUGGCCGGGCCUGCAUUGACGCUCGGGCACGAAAGCGUGGGGAUCGAACAGGAUUAGAUACCCUGGUAGUCCACGCCGUAAACGAUGGGCGCUCGUCGUCGGCGGCAGACAGUCGGCGGCCAAGCGAAAGCGAUAAGCGCCCCACCUGGGGAGUACGGUCGCAAGGCUGAAACUCAAAUGAAUUGACGGGG
rnacentral:rRNA from 1 species